GACGAACGCUGGCGGCGUGCUUAACACAUGCAAGUCGAACGGGAUCCACUGGGCUUUUGUUUGGUGGUGAGAGUGGCGAACGGGUGAGUAAUGCGUGACUAACCUGCCGUAUGGUUGGGGAUAGCUCCUGGAAACGGGUGGUAAUACCCAAUGCUCCAGCUGGAUGCAUGUCUGGUUGGGAAAGCUUUUGUGCCAUAUGAUGGGGUCGCGUCCUAUCAGCUUGUUGGUGGGGUGAUGGCCUACCAAGGCGUCGACGGGUAGCCGGCCUAAGAGGGCGACCGGCCACAUUGGGACUGAGAUACGGCCCAGACUCCUACGGGAGGCAGCAGUGGGGAAUAUUGCACAAUGGGCGCAAGCCUGAUGCAGCGACGCCGCGUGCGGGAUGGAGGCCUUCGGGUUGUAAACCGCUUUUAUAGGGGGGCAAGCUAUGCCUGUGUGGUGUGGUGAGUGGACUUUAUGAAUAAGCA
rnacentral:rRNA from 1 species